rnacentral:rRNA from 1 species
GACAGAGGGUGCAAACGUUGUUCGGAAUUACUGGGCGUAAAGCGCGUGUAGGCGGCUUGGCAAGUCGGGUGUGAAAGCCCUGGGCUCAACCUAGGAAGUGCGCUCGAAACUGCUUCGCUUGAGUGUCGGAGAGGAAAGCGGAAUUCUCGGUGUAGAGGUGAAAUUCGUAGAUAUCGAGAGGAACACCGGUGGCGAAGGCGGCUUUCUGGACGAUAACUGACGCUGAGACGCGAAAGCGUGGGGAGCAAACAGG